rnacentral:rRNA from 1 species
AUUGAACGCUGGCGGCAUGCCUUACACAUGCAAGUCGAACGGUAACAGGUCUUCGGACGCUGACGAGUGGCGAACGGGUGAGUAAUACAUCGGAACGUGCCCAGUCGUGGGGGAUAACUACUCGAAAGAGUAGCUAAUACCGCAUACGAUCUGAGGAUGAAAGCGGGGGACCUUCGGGCCUCGCGCGAUUGGAGCGGCCGAUGGCAGAUUAGGUAGUUGGUGGGAUAAAAGCUUACCAAGCCGACGAUCUGUAGCUGGUCUGAGAGGACGACCAGCCACACUGGGACUGAGACACGGCCCAGACUCCUACGGGAGGCAGCAGUGGGGAAUUUUGGACAAUGGGCGAAAGCCUGAUCCAGCAAUGCCGCGUGCAGGAUGAAGGCCUUCGGGUUGUAAACUGCUUUUGUACGGAACGAAAAGGUUUGGGUUAAUACCCUAGGCCGAUGACGGUACCGUAAGAAUAAGCACCGGCUAACUACGUGCCAGCCGCCGCAGUAACAC